rnacentral:ncRNA from 1 species
GAGGAAGGGCAUAGUAAGCGAUGAAAUGCUUCGGGGAGUUGAAAAUAAGCAUAGAUCCGAAGAUUCCUGAAUAGGUCAACCUUUCAAACUACUGCUGAAUCCAUGGGCAGG